GUGAAGACUUCCAGUUGACCUUCGUUGUGUUUGGAGAAUGAUGGAAUUGAAUGAUGUCACUAAGGGACUCAUUCUUCCCACCUUCUAUUCAGCUGUCCUCAAUAUGGUGGCUCUGGGUCCUCGUUUGUUGUCUCCUGUUACAUAUGGAUGCCACGGCACCAGGAAAACACUUUCUGGUGCCAUAAGUACCGUCCGAACUUCUGCACCCUGUCAGUCACCGGGGGGAAGUGCUUUCAAGAGUCUCAAACAAUGAGGAGCUGCUGGGCUUCCGGUUUCCAUCUGUAGGUGGAAGGUGUCUUUCCAUCAUGUGGUACAAUGGAAGAUUUGUCCUUAGGGAUGGUGCACUAGCCACAGGAGGCCAUUUUCCUGGGCUUUGAUAGCCUCGUUUAUGCUGGAAGAACCACAUGGCACUUGAUAACAAAAGUAUGAAUGAUAAUAUCACUAUUAUUGUCGGCCCCUUUAUGAAGCCCUGGCUGGUCUCAAACUGCCUCAGCCUCCCAAGUACUGAGAUGACUAACAUGAGCCACCACAUCCAGUUGUGACUUCCACUUAUAAAGUCCCCUUUUUUGAACAAAAGUGCAUGGGGUCUUAGGUGACAAGCUUGUGUGGGCGUCAAAUGCAUGCUUUCAAGAGAGUAUAACUUUUGAGGCCAGGAGAUGUCUAGAGCAUCAGGAUUAUAAAUAAAUGGUGGGAGACACCACAGUCCUUUAGCUGUGGUUCUUUUUUUCCUCUGGCAAAGGCAAGGGUUUUGGAAGCACACAGGAGCCGAGGGAGCAGAGGUUUUCACCGUCUCACUCCGUGCUAUGCAGCCUGCCUCACACACGGACUGGAUAAGAGUGCAGAUCACUCACACUUGUGGAAUGAUGUUUAUUGGAAGAGAACACAUGGGGAAAUGUACAGAGCUGGCAGCCCCUGACGUUGCGAGAUGUGGCCAUCUGGGUAACAGCUUAGCAAGUCAUUUCGAUAAAUAAUGCCAUUUGGAGAGAGUUUCAAACCAAAGCUCGAUGCCAGAACGCUUUCAAGAAGGUUUUGCAAUUCUGGCGCUCUCCCUUCUUUUGUCAAAAACUCAUUAGAUCUCAUUCCAGCUACGCUCUGCUCUUUGGGGGCAUGGGAACAUUUGUCCUUGGCUUUUCACUGUGAAAUAUUAUUGGAAGAUUAAUAUCAGUGGAGUAAAUACUACACAGAAUAAAAAGAACCCAAAUUUAUUAUACAAAGAUAAAAUACCUUCUUUAGACUUUUA